GUUGCAGGUCAUGGAGGAGCUGGUGGAUGAGGGGUUGGUGAAAACUCUUGGUGUUUCCAACUUCAACCACUUCCAGAUUGAAAAGAUCUUGAAUAAGCCUGGACUCAAAUAUAAACCAGUGACUAACCAGGUAAAUUCUAGUCAAUGAAAGGGUCCUGCCCUAUUACUUCUUAACAUUAGGAGGCAAAUCCAAUGCUAUAUACUGAGUCUAGUCUCAGGGAUCAGUGGUAAUGAUGCUUUCAGGGUGGUGGGAGACAGAUCUCAGGGUCUGGUUUAGUAAGUCUGUCAAUAUAUUGUGUGUACAACUUUCUGUGAACCAUUCAAAAUGCAAGCAAACUUUCCUAAUGAUGGAGAUUGUUCAUACUUGCAGGUGGAGUGUCACCCAUACCUCACCCAGGAGAAACUGAUCCAAUAUUGCCAUUCUAAGGGCAUCACUGUCACAGCCUACAGCCCCCUGGGCUCUCCAGAUAGACCUUGGUGAGGCUUCUGAGUGGUGGGUCUUUGUCUUAGUACUCUUAAAAAUAUUACUUUAUAACUGGUUGAGUUUGGUAUGAAUCUGUAAGUCACCAGAAAGAAAAAUGUGUCUAAGGCAAUGUGCUUAACCCCUCCAAAUGGGAUUAUGGUGGGAAAGAAUGGGAGUUUAAAAAGAAAGUGCAACACUUCUGACCCUCUGAGAAUACUCCAGUGCUAGACCAGCCUUGGUGAAAUGCUGAGGCUCCAGAGCCCAUGGAUGGACUAGCUCAUGGGAAAGACACAGAGCUUCUGGGUUUCUCCUGUUGGUGUCCCAAAUGGAGAAGGCUCUGAUGCCCAGCCUCGAGAUUGACAUUGGAGUGAUGUGCUUAUGCAUUUGGUAACCAUGGUGAUUAUUCAUAACAGCUAACUUUCUGCCUCUAGGGCUAAACCAGAAGACCCUUCACUAUUGGAGGACCCUAAGAUCAAGGAGAUUGCUGCAAGGCACAAAAAAUCCCCAGCCCAGGUACAAUGUGGGGUUUUUGCUCUUUAUCUUUAUCCAGCAAUCCAUUUAUUCUACCGUCUUCUGUUUUAUUCCUUUUAUUGUCUUCAUUCGACUCAUUAGAGGGGAGGAAAACAGGAAGUAAAGCACACUCAUGUGCCUUCUUGGAAGUCUUGUUAGGACCCCCAGGAAAUACAGUGGGUAUCAAUGAAACAAGGUUUAUUAGUCAGCUUUCUGUUGUUUAGAAAAUCAACAGAAAGGAGAAAAGAUUUAUUUUGGCUCAGGGUUUCAAUAUUUCAGUCUGUGGUCAUUUGGCCCCAUCACUUUGGGCCUUGGUGAGCCAUGUAUGGGCCAUGUGUGGUGGAGCAAAGGUGCUUACAUCAUAGCACUCAAGGAGGAAAGGUGCAGGAGGAAUGAGAGAGAGGGAGGGGGGAGUGAGAGAGAGGGAGAGAAAGAGAGAGGGAGACCCUUCAAACAAAGGCCAGUGACCUACCUCUUCCAACUAGGUUCACAGCUCUCUGAAGUUUCCACCACCUCCAAAUAGUGCCACACUUGGGGACCAAGCCUUCAAUGAGCCUUUGGGGGUAUUCCAGGUCCAAACUCUAACACAAGUGUGGCCUCUGUCUAUUGGCUUCCUACCAAGUUGUCUAGCUGAACCACAGAGAAUGGUUUUGGGUUCAUAUGCCAUCUGUACCACAUCUCAGCCUUAUGACCUCCAAGGACACCUUCAUUUCUAAACAAGGAAAACCAUAGGGUUUUCCCAUAACCUGCUAGUUAGGGAGGGAAGGGGAGAACUGGCCAGUGUCUCUAAUAGUUAAGCACUUGGCCCAACAUUCACUGUUGUAGCUAAAGCCUCAGUGAGCUACAGAGAUAUUUUAUUUUUCCUUUUUCUGGGAAAGGGGGGUCCUUGUGGACAAAUAGAAAUAUGAAGUCCUCUUUCUUCACAGGUUCUGAUCCGGUUCCAUAUCCAGAGGAAUGUGGUGGUGAUCCCCAAGUCUGUGACCCCAGAACGUAUUCUUGAGAACUUUCAGGUGAGAUCCUAUCUGAUCAUCUGGUAUUCCCCAGUGGAGGAGGUGGCAAGGGAGACUCUCUCUCCAGGUUUUUCAUCUCAUCCCUGUGUAUUAGUGGCUCCUGCCAUCUUCUCCACUCUUAGGUCAGGAAUCUGGCCUCAGAGCUGAGAGAAAUGAUCACAGGAUGUGCUAGGGCAGUGACAGGAGAAUCCCUGUCAGAUCUGAGCACACUGAGAAGGUUCCUAGUUGUCCUUGAGCAAUCAGGUCAUGGGCCACACAAGAGACCUCCUAGCAGCAGAUGAGAGAUGGACUGUACUUGAAGAGCUAUCCUUCUAGAAGAACCUAUGUGAACAGGAUGCUGUAUAAACUGAGGUUUAAUACCUACAAGUCUGGUAUCCCUCCUUUGGGCACACUACACCCUAUAAAUACUGCAGAGUCUGGUGGGGGGGAGGGGAGAAAUGGGGGGCAGGAAAAGAUAUUGGGGAUCUAAGCCAAGGACACUUUAUCACUGAGCUAUAUCACCAACCUCCCUCACUUUUUUAAGAGGGGGGUCUUGGUAAAUUGCCCAGGCUGACUUUAAACUUGGUUUCCUCCUGUCUCAGUCUCCCAAGUGGCUAGAAUUAUGGCACGUACCACCACAUCUAGCUAAAUACUACAGUCUUUGUGUGGGACCCAAUUUAGAGAAAAAUUUAUAUCCACUUGACAUACAAAGGACAUCUGGACUCCUGUGGCUAGUUUGUGCUACAGAUAUGAGCUUACUCCCUGCUAAAAUAACUGAAGAUCUCAAAUCCCAGGAAUUGUCUUGCCAAGGAUGUUUUGGAAUUCUUGCCUUUCCAGGUCUUUGACUUCAAAUUGAGUGAUGAGGAGAUGGCGACCUUACUCAGCUUCAACAGAAACUGGAGGAUCGGUGUCCUGGCUGAGUAAGUGUCAGCGGGUUAAUAAGGAGGAUCAUGGGGUUUUGUUUGUUGUUGCUUGUUUUGAAGAGGUAGAGGAUUAGCUGGAAAGAUUGGAAGGCAGCUGCAUCUAUAUUUGUCUUUUAGUACUAUUUUCUUGUUGUUCUUGAAUACUAUUGGAGUCCUGGGGAAUCAUUCUGGAAAGACAUAUUUCUAAUUGCUGCUCAUUGUCUGAACUUUUGAAUGUAGAGCUAGAAUUUCAAGAGAAGAGGUGUCAUUGCUCUGUAGGAGGCAGAAGUUUCCAUUCAUUCAUUCACUCAGCAGUUUACUGGUCAUCUACAAUGUGCCAGGCAUUUUCUAGGUGUUUGGGAGAUCACACUUUGUACAAAGUUCCUGCUGCCACAGUCUUAAAUUCUAGUUAGGGAGAACAAAAGUAACUCAAAAUAUAUAUGUCAGAUAGUAACAAAUUGUACAGGAAAAUAAAGAAGGGUAAAGGGGAUAGGAAGAGGUGGGUCCUGGGGAGGUUGGUACUUAAUAUUGAGUAGGUGAGGGAAGGUUUUGCUGAUAAGGUGACAGUUGAGCAGAAACCUGAAGAAAGUAAAAAAUAAGCCAUGUGGAUUUUGGGAAGAAGAGCAUUUUGGGCAGUGAAAGCAGCAAUUUCAAGGGCCUUGAGGUGAGAAUGUGUUUGGAGCAUUUGAAUAAAGAGGGCAGUGAGGCUGGAGUGGAAUGGAUGACAGGAAGAGUAGAAGGGAUGAGGCUGGAGAGAGGUGUCCAGGCUCAGAGCAUACACAGAGGGCGUAAACCAUGAGAGGGACUUUCAUUUUAGCUCUGAGCUGAGAAACCAUUGGAGGAUUUUGGACCGAGGGCUGGCAGGAUUUGACCUAACAUGUUUAUGAUGCCAUUAGACAUCCAAGAGGGAAUGUCAAAUACAGAGUUGGACUGGAGGAUUCAGGAGUAAACCUACCUGGCUUCUCAUCCCAGCCCCACCAUUUACUUACCAGCUGUGUGGUAACUUCAUCAAGUUGGCUUCUGUAUCUACAAAAUACGGAGGGAGGGUAGUAGUAAUUACAGCAGACAUCUAUGGAAUGUUGGCUCCGAAUGUACCGGGGAUCCUAAGUCCUUUACCUGUGUUGUUAAGUCAAGCAUCAAUUCCACUGUUAUUCCCAACUCUCAGUGUUGUGAGAAUGAAUUGACAACACUUGUAAGGUGCCAGGCGUGGUGGAAGCCAUUGAAUUAUGAUUUCAUUCUGGUGCCCUGGUCACUACUUACUUGCCUGCCUGUUUUUCUUAAAUACCUCUCCCACUGAUUUGAAGGAAGGUCAAGGUAUGAGCUUCCCUACUUAUGUCCUCACAGAGUCUUGGGGGAAGGUGGCUGAGGGAGCACCAGAGAAGAAUGGAUUGUUAGAGCACAGUUGCUGCUUUUGUGGAACACAUUCUCUCUGCUUGUUUCUGCAGCCAGGCUAAUUUGCCGGAUUACCCCUUUAAUGCCGAUUACUGAAGCUGAAUCUCCUGAUGAGACACCUGGUGGAUUCUUUCUCUUCAUGAAGUGGAAUUUGCUCUCCCUGAGGCCCAUUUUAACUAAAUUUAUAUGAAAUUAUAUUGUGCUUGAUCUUGUCAGAAUCUAGGCAAAAUUAAAAAAAAAGUUUAUUAGUGCAUUAUAAUUGUACAUAAUGGGAUUUUUUAAAUGCUCUAAUUGUCCAUGCACACAACAUUAGUUGCUCAAUCUCCUUCCCAGAACCUUCUUUCCUUCUCCUCCCUCCCCCUAAGCAAGGUUUGAUUUAGAUCCAUAUGUUGAACCAGGGAAAGACUUAUACAGGGAAGUAUGACUCAGAUGAGCAAAUGACUAUUUCUUCCACUUAUUUGAUCUGAACAAAUGUUUGUUAAACUACAGGGUCUCUGCUACCAUUGAGGAUGCAAAAAUAAAAAUAAUUAAAAAAUAAUGAAAGUAAUCAACGUGUACUGAAAGUUCACUGUGCACCCAUACACCUUGAAGUGCUUUUCCUCUCUGUGAGCUCACUGAAUUCAACUUUCAUCAUUCCAGUUUUUCAGAAGAUGAAAUGGAGGCUCAAGGCAACCCAGGUAGUAAGUGGCUGAACCAAGUUUCCUUUUUACCCCUAGCACUGGGGAUUGGACUCAGGGGGCACUCUACCAAAGAGCUACAUCUCCAGCCCUUUUUGUUUUGAAACUGAAUCUCACUAAGUUCCAAGGCUGACCUCAAACUUGCAUUCCUCCUGCUUCAGCCUCCUAAGUCCCUAGGAUUUCAGGCAUGUGCUGGUAGGCCUGGUUCCAUAGUAUUUUUCCUUAUGAAAUAUUCCAGUUAUAUAGAAUGUCCCGACGAUAACAUAGUGAGCAUCUGACAUACUUCAAAUUAAAAAAAAAUUUUUUUUGAGACUUUGGGGACCAAACCCAGGGCCUCAUGCAUGCUAAGCAAGUGCUAUACUACUGAAUCAAGCCUCCAGCUGAAAAAUGAAAAGAAAGCAUAAAGAAAUAAGUGGUUACUAGUAAAGUUGAGGACCACUUCUUCUUCUCAUUUCCUUGACUCCUCAGAAUUAAUGUCCAUCCUCAGAUUCCUGAGUCACCUCAUCCUCUGUUGGUUCUAUGCCUACUUACUUACAGAUCAGCUUCCUCGUCUUACCUUCUUCCAUUCUGCAGGAUGGUGGGGAGAGGAGGUCAACACCUGGAUUUCCAGACUUCCUAGUUAGAUGGUUUCCUCUGGGAUUGCUUAAAUAGGGUGUACUGUUAGGAGAUUAGAGGGCUGGGGGAAGGGAAAAGCCCAAUGUUUUCUCUUUGAGAGGUCUCUCCAUUAGAAGUCAGAUUUCCUCUAUUUUUCUUGUGGUCCCAGCUCUUGCCUGGCAGCCUCCACCAUGAUUCUAUCUCCUAACACAUGACACAGCUUCAGAGAUUAGGAAACACUGCUUUCUUCUAUGUCCUCUAUCCCUAGGGGCAGUGUCUUUUCUGCUAUUGCUAACUCAUCCUCUCUCUCAUCCCAGUUCUUCCCUCCCUUGUGCAGACAAUUUUAAUUAAUAUCCAAUGUUCAAAAAUCAGUGUUGGACUGGGGUGUAGGUCAGUGAUAGAGUGCUUGCCUAGCAUGUGUGAGGCCCUGGUUUCAUCCCUAGUACUAUUAAAAAAAAUUAAAAUUAGUGCAGUUCCUGUCCUGGCUGGACCCUUAACUGAUGCAUUUUUUCAUCCACAUUUUUACACAUUAUUAUUUACGCACACAACCCCACAAAUAAUUCAUGAGAUUAUUUGGAGGUAUAUAAAGAUGUAUGAACAUUAUAUAUAUGAAGCAAUUUAAAACCAGAGUCCAGUGAUAGUUCUAUUUGUUGUUGUUGUUGUUUUUGGUACUGGAGAUUGUACCCAGGAGCACUUUACCACUAAGCUACAUCCCCAGUUUGUUUAUCUGUUUUUCUUAGGAGACGGGAUCUCACUAAGUUGCUGAGGGUCUCAUUAAGUUGCUAAGGCUGGCCUUGAACUUAUGAUCCUCUUGCCUCGGUCUCUUGAGUUGCUGGGAUUACAGGUGUGUGCCAUUGCGCCCAGCUUUAUGCACAUUUUAAAAAUUAGAACUUGAUUUUUGAAUUUAUUAUCCAAGUAGCUAACAUAGUAUUUCUUGAUAUUAUCUGAAACAUAAUUAGGCCCCACUUUUCUCAGUAGUCUAUUUGUUUCUGUAUUCCUUUUGGCUCCCUGGAUUCAAGUGUUGUAUUCAAUGUGAAGUGUGUUUAGUUGUGUCUACAGUGUUGGCAGCUUCCCCAUCACCAUGACCUUACAUCUGCGCUCCUUGUACUUUGGCAUGGAAUUCGUGCUCCAUGCAGUUUAGUCACACAAUUGACAUUUGUUGCCCCAAUGAAAGAACCCAAAUUGCCUGAUAAGCCUGGAGGAGUGUACCAGGACUUUAUCCAUUUGACACAGACAUUUUACUUUUUAUAGCCAAGCCCAGUGGGCCAUGCAGCCUUCACGGGAUCCCUAGCCAUUCUCUAUCCCAUCAUAAGCAGAAAUCUAAUAACCUCAAUAGCCCUCAUCCCUCCUUCCCUUGAGUGUACACAGAAUCUGAAUAUGAUAAGAUUGUACUCACACAAUUAUGUAAAAUUAUAAAAAAGUGGCAGUUUGCAUUUGUAAUAAAUGUCCUAAUCAGUUAACUUUAAACUAUGGAGAUCACUGCUGGGUCUGGCUUAAUUGUGUUACUUUGUUCAUGAGAUAACCCUUACUUGUGUUACUUAUGUUUAUGAGUUAACCAUUUAAACUGAUAGUUAAAUGGUUUGCAGAAGAAAGGGAAAUAUAGGGCAGAAUAUAUUUCCUUUUCCUUUUGGUACAUCUCUACUCAUUAGUGAACCCAAAGUAGUGCAUGUUUACUGGGAAUAAUGGUGCAUGCCUAUAACUGCAGUGACUUUGAAGUCUGAGGCAGGAGGAUAGAAAAUUUGAGGCCAGCCUGGGCAAGUCAGGGUGACCCUGUCUCAAAUUUUUAAAAAGGCUAGGGGAUAGCUCAGUGGUAGGGGCUCCCUACCAAAAGAAAAAAACAGAUUCAUGUAACUUUAGAUUUAUGUGUACAUUCUCCAUUAAAGAGAAACUAAGUUUACUUGGAGAAAUAGCUAUUACAGAAGCAAAUCAGGAAAAGAUGACCUUGAGUAAGCUUUUUCCACCAGAAAGUGAGGGAGUGCUCAAUAAAUGAUGCAGUCCUGCCUUAAGGACACAGAAGCCAGCUCAAUUAGUGAAUUAGAGCAUAAAAAUUAAUGACAUUGGUGGAUAAUAGCCCACUGACUGAAACAGGAAUUCAUGAGACCACAUUAAAAUGAAUAAAUACAUAAGGAAAACAGAAAACUUUUUGCUCAAGUAUACAAUCAAUUAAUAAAUCUAGAAAAAUUAAUGGAAUUAGAAAUUCAUCAUUUUGGCAAUCACAAUUUAUUCAAGAAAGAUUAAUGGAUGUUUAAAUUAGUAAAUAUUAUAUGAGCAAGAGAGUAUUUGCUUAAUCCAAAGUACGUCUUUACUAAGUGCCUAUUAGCUACUAAAAGGAAGAGUUACCCAACAAUGGGUAAACUUGAUAGAAAGUUAAGUUAAACCACUGUAUUAGUUUUCUAUUGCUGCAUAACAAGUUACCACAAACUCAGCAGCUUGAUACAUUCAUGAUCUCAUUGUGUUAAGCAGGGGCCCAGUGAGAUUUUUCUUGGUUCCCUUUUUUCCUUUUGUCCUUCCCUAAUCCUUUAGCAGAAGUUCCACUUAGAAAUUAAUACUAAUUCUUUAAUCCCUUAGAUUAUUCACAAAUCCCAGUUGGCAUUUAUAAGACACUGCCUUGGUAAAUAGCACCAAAUCCAUUGUGAUGUGUUGGAGAAGACACCCUCACGGAGACUGGUCCCAGCCUGCAGCCUCACUCUCCCCUUAAUCCCCACAAAAACCCUGAGUCCAGAGCCUGGGAAGUUAGAGCUUGAGGAGCCUGCCCCUCUAUCACCUUCAGGGCUGGCCUUAAAUAAACUAAUUCCUUCCCACUAUUUUCCUGAUUCUUUCCAAAUACCUAUCUUCCUGAGUACUGAACAUUUGAUUCCAGUAAAAACAGUUCUCUAACAGGGCACAGUGGUGCUUGUCUGUAGUCUUAUCGAUUUGGGAGGCUGAGACAAGAGGAUUGCAAGUUCCAGGCUAGCCCUAGCAACUUAGCGAGGCCCUAAAUAACUUAAUAAGAUCUGUCUCAAAAAAAUAAAAUAUAGCCAGGCAUGGUGGUACAUGCCUAUAAUCCUAGCAGCUCUGGAGGCUGAGGCAGGAGGAUCGAAAAUUCAAAGCCAGCAUCAGCAAAAGUGAGGCACUAAGCAGCAACUCAGUGAGACCCUGUCUCUAAAUAAAAUACAAAAUAGGGCUGGGGAUGUGGCUUAGUGGCUGAGUGCCCCUGAGUUCAAUCCCUGGUAACUGCCCGCCCCCCCCCCCCGCCAAAAAAAAAAAAAUAAAGUACAGAAAACAAAAAACAAAAGGCUGGAAAACAAACAAACAAAAACAGUUUUCAGAGUCAGUAGUCCAGGUGGGUUUAACUAUAUUCUCUACUCAGGGUCUCACAAGGCUGAAAUCAAGGUGCUAGUUGGGCUGGAUUCUUAUCUGGAAGCUGAGGGGAAGAAUCCAUCUUCCAAACUCUUCGGGUUAACAGAAUUCAGUUCCCUGUGGCCUUAGGGCCCAGGGCCCAUUUCUUUGCUAGCUGUCAGCUGGUGGAUAUGCUCCAACUCUGGAAGCAAUUCUUGACUUAGGUCUUCAUCUCAACAAGUCUGAGAACCCUGGCACACUGUAUUUACGCAUUUAUUUAUUUAGGUACCAGGGAUUGAGCCUGGGGGGCUUAACCACUUGAGCCACAUCCUCCAGCCCUUCUUAACUUUUUUUUUUUUUUUUAAUUUUGAGACAGGGUCUCACUAAGUUGCUCAGGGUCUAGCUAAGUGUAUGAAACUGACUUGAAUUUGCAAUCCUCCUUCCUCAGCUGCCCAAGUCCCUGGGAUUACAGGCAUGUUGUCACUGCCACAUUUAACACUCUGGCUAUUCUUCUACUGUUGACCAGGGAAAGCUCUCUGCUUUUUUUUUUUUUUUUUUUUUGUGGUGCUGGGGAUUGAACCUAGGCCCUUGCACAUGCUAGGCAAAUGCUCUACCUCUGAGCUACACUCAGCUGUCUGCUUUUAAAUGACUGAUUUAUUUAGAGUUGUCCCACCUGGAUAAUUACCCUUUCAAUAUAAAACAAUAUAAUCAUGAAAGUAACACAUACUAGCCAAGGUCAUAGGGCCAUCUUAACAUUCUGUCUACCAUACCACCUUAAUUGAGCAAUCAAUUAAUAUUAAUGAAGGGAAAGCAUGGGAGAGACGGGUAAGUGAGACAGGAAAGACGGAGACCAGGCAGUGAUACACAUGAGCGUUUACUUGUCAGAGCUGACAAAUAAAGGCCAUCUCUCAAUAGGAGAGAGAGGCAAAUCAGGCUUGAGUUCCGGGACUUUUAUGGGGGAGGCUCAGGAAUCAGAGCUGGGCAGGUCCUAAUGCAGGUGGUUAAGGGUUGUGUUAGUCUGAGGGAGUGGUGAGCCUUUCUCAGAUAGGCCUUUGGGUGGGAAGUGAAACUUUAUCCUUAAAAUGUUGAUUGUCACUUAAGAUCGCUGUCCAGAUGUUAAGCAAGGACCUUAUAAUCCCAGCGGCUUGGGAAGCUGAGGCCAGAGGAUUCUGAGUUCAGCAAAAGCCUAUCUCUAAAUAAAAUAUAAAAAAGGGCUGGCAGUGUAGUUCAGUGGUUAAGUGCCCCAGGUUCGAUUCCCAGUACCAAACAACAACAACAAAAGUCACCAAAUAUUUAAAAACUCUUCCUUUAUGCUAUCAGUUUCUAAAAGUGGGGAAAAUGUUAUUUGAAAGAUGUAACUGAACUUGAAUUGAUUCUCAGACAAUUCAUAAAUCAAAAUGGCAAAGCAGAAAUCAGAGGACUGAGAAACAGAGUAUUGGUUUCUCUCAUGCUUUAAGAAGAUAGUUAAUGGGCUAGGGUUGUGGCUCAGUUGGUAGAGCGCUUGCAUGGAGCACUGGGUUCAAUCCUCAGCACCACAUAAAUAAAUAAAAUAAAUAAAAUUGUGUCCGUCUACAACUAAAAAUUAAAAGGAGAAGGAGAAGGAGAAGAAGACAGCUAAUGUUUUCAAAAGUAUACAGAGGGAAACUUGGUGCCUGUGGCACACACCUGUAAUCCCAGGGAUUCAGGAAGCUGAGGCAGGAGGAUCACAAGUUCAAGUUAGGGAGAUCCUAUCUUAAAAUAAAAAAAUAAAAAGUCCUGGGGAUAUAGCUCAGUGUUAAAGCACCCCUGCAUCAAUCCCCAGUACAAAUAAAAAAGAAAGAAAGAAAGAAAGAAAGACAAUGACCUUCCUUUAUAUAGCAAUUACUUGUUUAUUUUUUAUUGUGUAGGUUAACAUUAUAAACUUUAAUCUCUAUAUAUUAUUUGAGACAUUUGUGAGGUUCCACUUUGUUUUCUUUCUGUACUGGGGAUUGAACCUAGAAGUGCUCUACUACUGAGCUACAACUUGCCCCACAUGUAAAAAAUAUUCUUAUUUUGAGUUUGAGUCUUGCUAAAUUGCUCAGACUGGUCUUGAACUUACUGUCUUCCUGCCUCAGCCUUCCCAGAUGCUGGGAUUAUAGGCGAGCACCACCAGGCCCAGCUUGGUUCCACUUUUGGACUAAACUCUAUUGACUUUUGCAUAGUUAGUUCUCUGCACUUUGCACUACCACUUCCAGAUAAAAUCUUAAUCAAGUGUGUGCUUGUCUGCUGAGUUCCUACACCAUGACUUUGCAUUCUGUCUUUGGACUUUCACUUCCUGAAUGUACAAGACACAUUUUUAUCACUCUCUUUCAUAUCAAGGAAAGCGUUGGGGAAUCUUAGAGGGAAGGUGGCUUAUGUGGACUGUGGGUGUUAGCUCAAUGAUACAGUGCUUGCCCAGUACAUGCAGGGCUCUAGGUUCAAUCCCUGGUACUGCCAAAAACAAAAAAGCUGCACAUUCACAGCUGUAAGCUCUACCAUCCCUGAUAGCCCUGACAAGCAAUGGGUUUAUUUGGUCUCACUGGAGGCCUGCUCUGCUUCUGUGCACAAGGUGAGCUGGGGCUGGCAGCCAAGGUAAUGGCAGUAAUGUAGAACUAAGAGGCUAAAAUAGAUUGAGGGCUUUAGGCUGCACUAGAAAGGAUAUGGCUAAUUUAGAAGCUUCAGACUCCAGUGCUGGACAGACUGGAGUCACAGACUGUCAAUGGUGGUGGGGCUUAGGAGUAUUGAGUUUCUCUAUACCUUAAAUGUCACGGUCUGGCUAAUGUUCAGACACCUUUAGUGAGCAGAAAUUCAGUUUCCAACUCUGGAAAAUCUUGCAUUUAUAUGCCCUGCUGCAUUCUCCACCUAUAAAUCCCAAUUCUGUGUGUGGAGGCAGCACAACACAGGUUUUAUCCUAUUCCUCCUGAAAGCCCACCAUAUAGUUAAUAUUAUCUGUUCUAUGUCAUUUUAUUCUCAAUUGUAUUAUUUAUUUAUUUAGGUAGUUAGUUCUAACCAGGUAUACAUGAUAGCAGAAUGCAUUUUGAUUCAUUCUACACAAUGGAGCACAACUUUUCAUUUCUCUGGUUGUACAUGAUGUACUUAAUUGUAUUUGGAUAAAUAUCUUCAGUUUAUGGAUACAAUUUAAUUCAACUGAUUAAAUUCAGGUUUAUUGGUUUAAUUUAUUAAUAAACUUAACUAACUUAUUAAUAUUAAAUUGAUAAAUCAAUUCAGUAAAUUAAAUCCAAUCUAUACAAUUUAAAGAGGAUGUGUCUUUAAGUUAGUACUGCUAGGCUUUAGAGACAGAAGGCUCAAUUUGAAUCUUACAGCAUGCCAGCACAUUGGUGGGGUUGUUUUAAGACCACAGGUCAUUGUACAGUAUUAUAAAUUUUUAAAAAAUUCUUUUUCUUUUUCUUUCUCUCUCUUCCCCUCUCUCUCUCUCUCUCUCUCUCUCUCUCUCUCUUUCUUUCUUUUUUUUUGUAACAGGGAUUGAAUCCAGAGAGGCUUAACCACUGAGCCACAUCCCCAGAACUUUUUAUUUUUUAUUUGAGACAAAGUCUUGCUAAGUUGCUUAGGGCCUUGCUAAGUUGUUGGAACUGCCUUUGAACUUGUGAUCCUCCUGCCUUAGCUUCCCAAGUUGCUGCAAUUACAGGUGUAUGCCACUGUGCC
rnacentral:lncRNA from 1 species